ensembl:lncRNA
CGGAAAUAUAUUAAAAAUGAGUAGACGUAAAUAAAUAGAAUAGAUGAAAAGACAGAUCAGUUUGAAAGGUUCAUUAAAGGGGGACAUAUAGAAAACAUUUUCUACUGUAUAUUGGGAGAGAAAGAUUGGUAUUACCUCAACAUUGGCGGGGACACGCCCCCCCUCAAAAAGAAUACGUGGUUACGCCCAUAGUUGUAGGAGACACAGCAGCGACGGAGUCGGAGUAGGAGACACAUUUUUCCUCAGGAGUCACGACACAGCAGACACGGGGUUUUCUUUCUUCAAUUUUAACUUUUCUCAGGAGUUUAAGUCAUCUGGUGGGCGUGGUUGAGUGCGCAGGUGCGUCAUUCAAACCGAGCGAGAUGACCGUUGAGGAUCAGACAGCGCGAGACAGCUCCUUUCAGGGUGGUUCCUACUAGGUCUGCUAAUGGGACCGCCCUCCUGACUGGCUGCCUAUAAAGUCACCCGCUCUAGCGGUGCUGAGCAGCGAGAUGUCACAGAGAAGAGUGUGUCCUCACUUGACUCAGCUACCCUUAUAAAUGGCUCCUCAUGGUUUUCUCUUAAAAUUAAGGCCUUCCUUGCGAGACAAGAAUCUUCACCAUCUGAAUUAUGAGUGCCCAUCGUCAUUCCUUCUUCUCCCCUUUACUGGAUCUGGAUCUGGACACUCAUUAUCAGCUUGCGCAUCUAACUGCUGAUAUCAUGGUGCUACUUAACUAUCUUCGCAGCACCCCCUCUGGAAAUGGAAAUGCGGGGUCCGUCCGCCCCCCCGAUACAAAAUCUGCCCCGUGAACGUGUGUAUUGACGCCUCUACACAGCCAAAACCCCCCUCCAGCUUUCAAUCUGAGGAAGAUGUCACCUUCUCUGACCUGGUCCCCGACCAUUCUUCCCUCUUCUCACCUACCAGUCCGCCCCACUCUCAGUGGUCCUCUCACUUCACCUUUGCUGACUUUCCCAUGUUCCCAGGACGCACCCCAUUUUCUUCCCCCCACCACUCUCCUCAAGAUUACGCACCCACCAGUCCUGUGAAUUAUCAAUAAAAUUACAUAUUACUCAUACUAAGUGUCCCUCAUGUUUAUUUCAUGUCAUUUUUAUCCACAACACAGCCCACUUGAAGUACAUCGACAAUGUCUCGAGAGUCCUUGAAUGGAUGAAAUCACUGUGCCAGCGGUACAAGGUCACUCCGGCCAAGUUAUUUCUGACGCGUGUUUCCAAGUUCCUCCAUUAACUCGAUGAGUAACUGUCCAAGGGCCGAGUUGGCUCCACGAGGCUGUGGAGUCUCCAGAGACUGCUGCAGUGGGAGUGCAGACAUCUGUCCGGUCGAGUCGUGCUCCACAGGCAAGGCGUGCGAGCGGAGAAGAGUGAGGGAGUACUUACAGCUCCUGCACGGCAAACUGUUGGACGCUGUCCCUGUUUCACUGGCUGAUCUGAACUCGUCCAGCAGACCCGGACAUGCUCAACCAUUGCAUCGGGCUGCUGUGUGCUCACUUCUUUUCGGUCAGCGGACACAGGACCGGAGUCCUGCAGAACCUCACGACUGAGGAGUUUGAGAACCUCGAGAAGGCUGACUCUUUCUGAUCAAUGUGAUGCAGCACAAACCUGCCUCUGCUUUUGGACUCGCUAAGCUAGCCAUCACCAAGCUGGAGCUGAAGUGGCUGAAAGCUUUCUGCCGCCUGAGGAAGCAUAUGCCGGGAUAUGAGACUUCUGUGGGGUGGCUUUUCUUUUCUGGCACACAGGCCAGGAUUUCUGCGCAUGUCAAGCUUGCCCUGCGGGCACUCGUGGGAAGAGACAUCACUGUGUCGGACAUCCGCACAGCUCUAGCAACCUACUGCGAACGCAAAAGACGAACAACGCAUGCUCGUGACCAAGACGAUGUGCUACAGCAAUUAGCUGAGUCGUGGAGCUGUCGGUCAGCGAGGCGCACUCCGCCCAGUCUGCGCUAGAGUCCGCUGCGGGCAUAGGUGCUACAUAGGCCGGUUGUUUUUGGCUAAUGGCCCUGUGUGUGUGUGUGUGUGUGUGUGUGUGUGUGUGUGUGUGUAAAUAUUUCAUUAAAAUGUUUGAACUGAAUUCCCCUUGUCAAAAGUACAGUAGCAUCACUCGUGGCGAGACCACACAACCGAAAUUUCCGAAAGUACAUGGACUGAGCUCCGGGCGAAGUUCGCAGGCUUUGCCCAGGGAGAGAGCGUCAAUUAGCUGAAUUUUUUCCUCGUUGAUUUCAAUGGUUUAUGCGUUUCUAGUCAGGGCAAGCUACUGUUUGUUGCACCUCUUCCAUCCUCCUCCACGGUCUGAAGCCAGCUGCAGCCACCUUUUCAUCACCGUCACAAUCUCAGCACUUGUUGCCCUUGAUGUUAACGGGUUCUUUCGGACAGCAUCUAAUGAACAUGAGGCAAAACACGAGGCGCACUCCGCCCAGUCUGCGCUAGAGUCCGCUGCGGGCAUAGGUGCUACAUAGGCCGGUUGUUUUUGGCUAAUGGCCCUGUGUGUGUGUGUGUGUGUGUGUGUGUAAAUAUUUCAUUAAAAUGUUUGAACUGAAUUCCCCUUGUCAAAAGUACAGUAGCAUCACUCAUGGCGAGACCACACAACCGAAAUUUCCGAAAGUACAUGGACUGAGCUCCGGGCGAAGUUCGCAGGCUUUGCCCAGGGAGAGAGCGUCAAUUAGCUGAAUUUUUUCCUCGUUGAUUUCAAUGGUUUAUGCGUUCCUAGUCAGGGCAAGCUACUGUUUGUUGCACCUCUUCCAUCCUCCUCCACGGUCUGAAGCCAGCUGCAGCCACCUUUUCAUCACCGUCACAAUCUCAGCACUUGUUGCCCUUGAUAUUA